rnacentral:rRNA from 1 species
CUACGUGCCAGCAGCCGCGGUAAUACGGAAGGUCCGGGCGUUAUCCGGAUUUAUUGGGUUUAAAGGGAGCGUAGGCUGGAGAUUAAGUGUGUUGUGAAAUGUAGACGCUCAACGUCUGACUUGCAGCGCAUACUGGUUUCCUUGAGUACGCACAACGUUGGCGGAAUUCGUCGUGUAGCGGUGAAAUGCUUAGAUAUGACGAAGAACUCCGAUUGCGAAGGCAGCUGACGGGAGCGCAACUGACGCUGAAGCUCGAAGGUGCGGGUAUCGAACAGGAUUAGAUACCCUGGUAGUCCGCACAGUAAACGAUGGAUGCCCGCUGUUGGUACGUGGUAUCAGCGGCUAAGCGAAAGCAUUAAGCAUCCCACCUGGGGAGUACGCCGGCAACGGUGAAACUCAAAGGAAUUGACGGGGGCCCGCACAAGCGGAGGAACAUGUGGUUUAAUUCGAUGAUACGCGAGGAACCUUACCCGGGCUUGAAAUGUAGAUGACCGCUCC